GUAUAGUAUCUUAAGAAUAUACUGUGAAAAUUUGGUAAUGAUAUUCACAGUAUUUCAAGUUUUAUAGCCCAUUGAAGGUCGGCGCCAAAGUAAGUAGAAGGGUCGCUUCGCUCAGUGAAUAGUUCUAUUGUUCGUAGAAAAGCAGCUGCUACCUGAGUUGAGAUCGAAAGAGCACAUGUCUGAA
rnacentral:lncRNA from 1 species